rnacentral:rRNA from 1 species
UACGGGGGGGGCAAGCGUUGUUCGGAAUUACUGGGCGUAAAGCGUGCGCAGGCGGUUGUGCAAGACAGAUGUGAAAUCCCCGGGCUUAACCUGGGAACUGCAUUUGUGACUGCACGGCUAGAGUGUGUCAGAGGGGGGUAGAAUUCCACGUGUAGCAGUGAAAUGCGUAGAUAUGUGGAGGAAUACCGAUGGCGAAGGCAGCCCCCUGGGGUAACACUGACGCUCAUGCACGAAAGCGUGGGGAGCAAACAGG